CUCGCGUCCGAUUAGAUAGUUGGUGAGAUAAUGGCCCACCAAGUCAACGAUCGGUAGCCGAACUGAGAGGUUGAUCGGCCACAUUGGGACUGAGACACGGCCCAGACUCCUACGGGAGGCAGCAGUGGGGAAUAUUGGGCAAUGGGCGAAAGCCUGACCCAGCAACGCCGCGUGAAGGAUGAAGGUCUUCGGAUUGUAAACUUCUUUGAUUAGGGGAAGAAUUUUUGACCUACCUAAAGAACAAGUCACGGCUAACUACGUGCCAGCAGCCGCGGUAAUACGUAGGUGACAAGCGUUAUCCGGAUUUACUGGGUGUAAAGGGCGUGUAGGCGGUUUUGCAAGUCAGAUGUGAAAUUCCCAGGCUUAACCUGGGCGCUGCAUCUGAAACUGCAAGACUUGAGUACUGGAGAGGAUAGUGGAAUUCCUAGUGUAGCGGUAAAAUGCGCAGAUAUUAGGAGGAACACCGGUGGCGAAGGCGACUAUCUGGACAGUAACUGACGCUGA
rnacentral:rRNA from 1 species